rnacentral:lncRNA from 1 species
GCUGUGUACAAUAUGUAUAUACAACUCGUCUAAACAUCAACCCAACAAUGUUAAAUCUGUAAAUUUGCCGUCGCAAAUUUUAUGUUCUUCCUUCUCCGGGAUUCGAACCCAUGCUACUGAGAUAACGUGACACCAAAUCGCCUGCACUGUAGCCGUCCCGCUAAACCACACGACCACUUGGGCUUCACAAUAAUAAAGCUUUCGAUGGCCGUGUGUUACCUUUCUUCGUCACUUUUAAUCUAGCGUCGUACUACAGUACAUGAU